rnacentral:lncRNA from 8 species
CCACUCCCGGAGGCAGCAGGUCCAAAGUGAAGCCGGCAAUGGAGCUGGUCAGGUCGUGUGAGAGACAAGGCCAGUCGGGCCUGGGGGAGCUGAGGACGGCCAAACCCUACUACAACGCCGCCCCUGGCAUUACACUGAGCCACAGCAGGAGGGAGCAGAUGGAUGCGGUGGUUGCUCUAUCACAGAGCAAAGCUACUAAGCAGGACACCAGAGCUGGACCUGUGGCAGAGAAAUACCGCAGGCACAUCCCAGUGGACAAAGUGGUGGAGAUGGUCCAAACUGACCAGGCGGAGAAAGAGGAGCUUCUUGGUACAGUUCCUUCACACUUUAUAUACUGUAUACCAUGACUGUGAUAUGUGGUUGUCCUAACUCAAUUGAAUGCACUGACUGUUUAGUUGCUCUAGAUAAGUGUCUGCUUAAUGACAACAUGUAAUUUAAAAAUGAAUGUAGAUUGGUUGUGACAGUCACUUGGGCAUUCACAUUUUCUCUGUAAUACAUCUCCCAUAGAUGUAACAUAAAUGUAAUGACUGUUAACAGUCUGUAAACACACCAUUUAUUUCCCUUUACCCUCAUUCCAUCUAACAGACAGCAGCAUUGUCCCUGACACCCAGCCUACCAUGAAAACAGAGAGAACUAUGUAAGUACAUGGUCUCUGUCAUUGAAAUCACAAUUUAUUUAAAAUCUGAUUUUGAAUCAGACAUGUUUACACAUGGAGGAGCUUUUAGACCACGUGUGUGUGUGUGUGCGUGUGCAUGCAUCUUUGUUUGUUCGAACAGAUUCUCCCACUGGAGGAAAGUGUCUGUAUCUGAGAUGCUGCUGCCGGUACAGAGAGGCUUCCAGAAGGCACUGCCCAAACCAGAACUUGAGAACUUAGAGCAACAGGAGCGUCCGUCGUCUGCCCAGAGAGGUUCUGGGUCGGUCCCUGGGUCAGCAGUCGGCCACAAGCAGCUCCACGCCCAGCUCACCCAGCGCCUGGAGGAGGUCCUCCGCAAGAGGGACCGGGGUACUGGGCCCGAGGAGCGAGCUGGAGCCCAGAUCAGAGUGCCUGAGGAGCGAGGUGGGCCACAGGACCAAGGGUCCCGAGAGCGAGCUGGAGCCCAGAAAGGAAGCAGGCCUGAGGAGCAAAGUGGAGCCCAGGGAGGAAGAGGGCCUGAGGAGCGAGAUGGAGCCCAGGGAGGAAGAGGGCCUGAGGAGCGAGGUGAGCCCACUGGGAGAGAUGCCAAAGAGUCACGGCAGGAUGCAGGAAGGCUUGCUCAGACCAAGGGGAAACCUAAGAGCCAGAAGUCUCAGGAAACUGAAGCCACCCCAGGGAAAGCCCCUGUCAAACCCACCCCAGCUAAAGAUAUACAGGAGAGGUCAACACCCAACUCCAAGGUUAAGGCCACUGGGUCAAACUCCAGUAAAGACAAGAGAGAGGAGGAAGUGACAGGCACCAUGAUGAGGUUAAUCUCCAGCCACUACGAGAAUAGCACAUCAUCCACCACCAUUAAAUCCCCUGUAGAGUCUGUCCCUCGCUGGCCCCUUCCACCCACCAACAGGUACUGCAGCAACAGGUACUGCAGGAACAAAACCAAGUGA